rnacentral:rRNA from 1 species
AACGAACGCUGGCGGCAGGCCUAACACAUGCCAGUCGAACGAGACCUUCGGGUCUGGUGGCGCACGGGUGCGUAACGCGUGGGAAGGUGCCCUUAGGUUCGGGAUAACUCCCCGAAGGGGGUGCUAAUGCCGGGUAAUUUAUUCGGACACCGGAUCUGUCGUCUUUGGAUGGGCCCGCGUUGGUUUAGCUAGUUGGUAGGGUAAGAGCCUACCAAGGCGACGAUCGAUAGCGGGUCUGAGAGGAUGAUCCGCCACACUGAGACUGAGCCACGGCCCAGAAUACUACGCGAGGCAGCCAUGGGUAAUAUUGGCCAAUGGGCGAAAGCCUGAUCCAGCACUGCCGCGUGAGUGAUGAAGUCCUUAGGGAUGUAAAGCUCUUUUACCCGGGAUGAUAAUGACAGUACCGGGAGAAUAAGCUCCGGCUAACUCCGUG